CCUACGGGGGGCAGCAGUAGGGAAUAUUGCUCAAUGGGGGAAACCCUGAAGCAGCAACGCCGCGUGCAGGAUGAAGGUUUUCGGAUUGUAAACUCCUUUUGUUAGAGAAGAUAAUGACGGUAUCUAACGAAUAAGCACCGACUAACUCCGUUCCAGCAGCCGCGGUAAUACGGAGGGUGCAAGCGUUACUCGGAAUCACUGGGCGUAAAGAGCGCGUAGGCGGGAUAGCAAGUCAGAUGUGAAAUCCUAUGGCUUAACCAUAGAACUGCAUUUGAAACUGUUAUUCUAGAGAAUGGGAGAGGUAGGUGGAAUUGUUGGUGUAGGGGUGAAAUCCGUAGAGAUCAAGAGGAAUACUCAUUGCGAAGGCGACCUGCUAGAACAUAACUGACGCUGAUGCGCGAAAGCGUGGGGAGCAAACAGGAUUAGAUACCCCUGUAGUC
rnacentral:rRNA from 1 species